GCUAUACUGCACGUCGAGCGGAAGAUGGGAGCUUGCUCCCUGAUGUUAGCGGCGGACGGGUGAGUAACACGUGGGUAACCUGCCUGUAAGACUGGGAUAACUCCGGGAAACCGGGGCUAAUACCGGAUGGUUGUCUGAACCGCAUGGUUCAGACAUAAAAGGUGGCUUCGGCUACCACUUACAGAUGGACCCGCGGCGCAUUAGCUAGUUGGUGAGGUAACGGCUCACCAAGGCGACGAUGCGUAGCCGACCUGAGAGGGUGAUCGGCCACACUGGGACUGAGACACGGCCCAGACUCCUACGGGAGGCAGCAGUAGGGAAUCUUCCGCAAUGGACGAAAGUCUGACGGAGCAACGCCGCGUGAGUGAUGAAGGUUUUCGGAUCGUAAAGCUCUGUUGUUAGGGAAGAACAAGUGCCGUUCAAAUAGGGCGGCACCUUGACGGUACCUAACCAGAAAGCCACGGCUAACUACGUGCCAGCAGCCGCGGUAAUACGUAGGUGGCAAGCGUUGUCCGGAAUUAUUGGGCGUAAAGGGCUCGCAGGCGGUUUCUUAAGUCUGAUGUGAAAGCCCCCGGCUCAACCGGGGAGGGUCAUUGGAAACUGGGGAACUUGAGUGCAGAAGAGGAGAGUGGAAUUCCACGUGUAGCGGUGAAAUGCGUAGAGAUGUGGAGGAACACCAGUGGCGAAGGCGACUCUCUGGUCUGUAACUGACGCUGAGGAGCGAAAGCGUGGGGAGCGAACAGGAUUAGAUACCCUGGUAGUCCACGCCGUAAACGAUGAGUGCUAAGUGUUACGGGGUUUCCGCCCCUUAGUGCUGCAGCUAACGCAUUAAGCACUCCGCCUGGGGAGUACGGUCGCAAGACUGAAACUCAAAGGAAUUGACGGGGGCCCGC
rnacentral:rRNA from 1 species